GCCAGUUGAGGGUAGAUGAAAACAUUACAUGAUCAAAUAAUGUAGGUUAAAGUCAGGUCGUUCAGAGACAGAUCCAGGCGGUUUUGUAUUUGGUUGGUUAAACAAUGUUAUAACUACCUGAAAAUGUACAAAUUGUUUGUUUACUUUUAUUUAAAUAUCUAAAGAUACAGAGUAUAGUACUCAACAAUCUAAUUCCAAUAGUUGUCUGUAACCUCUAUUGCCAAGAAUUUAGGAUUAAGGUCCACACAUACCGAGUUGCCUCGCGAGGAAUUUGCCGCGCGAAGCAGCUCGGGCUGUGGAGACGUGCCUCGCCCGAGGCAACGCGGUCGCGAGUACGUUUGCUUCGCAUGAGGCGCGGCGACACAGACCGAGCUGCUUUGCGCGGCAAUGUGUUUAAAAACAGAUUGUACUUUUAAACAAUAAGUUAGGCUGAUGUUAUAUGAUUUUACAAACUUUGAACUGAACAACAACUUUUACAAUAUUGAACUUACACUUACUUUAGUAUUUGAACUUGUACAGUCAACCAAUUUGAAUCCUAGGCCACUAUAGAACCUUGUCGCUUUAACUACUCUAUACAUGACAUGCAUCACUCAAUAAGCACUGUCGUGGAAGUCAUUAUGACAUAGUUCUAUAGUGGCCUAGGAAUCAAAUUGGUUGACCGUACAAUAUUGGACACUGUGUGACAUAGUCUCAUCAGUUAAAUAGCUGGUCGCUUAUUAAUUAAAAUUAAAUAAGCCUUUAAUCCACAUAUGAAUCACUUGUAAAUACAAAUAUUAAGUUGUCUUAUUAUAAAAUGUCUCUUAGUGUGGUGUGCCUGUCGGCAUAGGCCUCUUCCAACUCUUUCCAGUGCUGUCUGUCUAAAGCAACUCUGGUCUGGUCGCCUAUAAUUCCAUCUAUUGGGAACUGUUGGGCUAGAAUAGAAUGGAAUACUCUUUAUUGGCACAUCUCAGUAAAAAGAUACAGGAAAAGAAACAAUUGCUUAAAUAGUAGGGUAGUGUCAGGCAUUGGGAUAUUUAUCUUAUUAGGCUGGUAAAUUUAUAACUUAGAUCAUUAGCAAUUAUAAUAUAAAGAGAUACUAGACUACUACGCAAAACACAAAUAAACAAUACCAAAAUUUAUGUCUGCGCGUAUAGACAUAAGUUGGGGCUGAUGGACAGGAUUUGCGCUGAUGUGGAUGGCAGGUUGUUGAAAUGACGAAGGCAGCGGGUUCUUCAAAUUAAUUCUAUAAUUCGGGAUUUUCUACAUGGUUUUUGAUUAAUUAACGUUAUAUAAAAAAGAGCAAAACAAAAAGGGCACGUAUAAGCUACGUGGUAGUUCGGUGAGAGAUCGAAUUGUGAUGUUUACGCAAAUAAAUCAUUAUCUUAUCUUAUCUUACUAUAAAGAGUUUUUACCUAAUGUUACAGUCUUAGUGUGUUAAAAGUAUUGUCAAGAUGUUUUUUACUAUUUUGUGAACAAUAUGUAUUUUUUCUAGCAGGCAACUUGUCUAUUCAGAGAAAUUUGGUCUUUUUUUAAAAGGGUAAUUACUAUUAUCAGUUUUCAUUGUAGAGGUGUAAAAUUUAUGAAAAACUCGUGCCCCCGAAUAUGACAGCCGGGUCACCAACGGCCAGCCAAUCUCACCAACUUGACAAUUGGCUGCCCAUGUAGUCAGCAAAUAACAAGGUUUACUUGUUGUACAGUCGAUGUCACCAACAUCUUUACAAGCCAACAUGCCAAUAAUAUAUUUACACGCCUCUAUGACACUGACUUUAAGGUCGCGUUGACAUAUAUUUGAAAUGUUGGGUUGUAAAGAUAUCUGUGUACUCGACUGUACUUGUGUUGUUGGCCUGUUUUGAUGUAACUGUAUUAUUUUUUAAUGUAUAUUUUACUAUUAACAACUCUGCUAAUAUUAAAGCUGCUCAAACAUAAUUACGAUCCAUAUAGAGUACGCUGAAAUGUAAGGAGUCAGUGAUUCUUACAUAUUUUUUGUAUGGAAUAACACAUUUACCAAUAUUGGUUGUACAAAAAUGAGAUGGACCGAUAUUUGGGAAAUAAAAAAACUUAAUAGUGUAAAUUAUAGUUUUUAUGUCGAAUAAAUCGAAUUUAUUAUGUA